rnacentral:rRNA from 1 species
UACAGAGGGGGCAAGCGUUGUUCGGAAUUACUGGGCGUAAAGGGCGCGUAGGCGGCCUUCUAAGUCGAACGUGAAAUCCCCGGGCUCAACCCGGGAACUGCGUCCGAUACUGGAAGGCUUGAAUCCGGGAGAGGGAUGCGGAAUUCCUGGUGUAGCGGUGAAAUGCGCAGAUAUCAGGAAGAACACCAAUGGCGAAAGCAGCUCUCUGGGACGGUACUGACGCUGAGACGCGAAAGCGUGGGGAGCGAACAGG